AUGAGUCAGUCCCCGGAAUCUCUGGCAGUGCCAGUGGGAGGGAGAGUCUCUAUCAACUGCAAAGCCAGUACGAGCGUUGGCACUUGCCUAAACUGGUACCAACAGAAACCUGGACAAGCUCCCAAACUUCUUAUCUACUACGCCACCAACCUCCAGUCUGGGGUUCCAGCCCGGUUCAGUGGCAGUGGGUCUGGCACUGAUUUCACAUUCACAAUCAGCAGCGUAGAAGCCGAUGAUGCUGGAGAUUAUUACUGCCAGCAGUGUAGCAGCUUGCCUCUCACAGUGAUACAGACCAGUGCAAAAACCUCCCUGUUCUCUGGUUCCAGUGGGCAGAUUGUGAUGACUCAGACCCCAGAAUCCCUGGCAGUGUCUCCAGGAGACAGAGUCACCAUCAACUGCAAAGCCAGUUCCAGUGUUAGUAGCUACAUGGCCUGGUACCAACAGAAAUCAGGACAAGCUCCCAAGCUCCUUAUCCGCAGCGCUUCCACCCGUCCCUCUGGGAUCCCAGACCGGUUCAGUGGCAGUGGGUCGGGCACGGAUUUCACUCUCACCAUCAGCAGGGUUGAAGCUGAUGAUGUUGGAGAUUAUUACUGUCAGCAGUACGAUAAACUCCCUCUCACAGUGAUACAGACCAAUACAAAAACCUCCCUGCUCUAUGAAGCAUGA